AGGAGCUUGCUCCUCUGACGUUAGCGGCGGACGGGUGAGUAACACGUGGAUAACCUACCUAUAAGACUGGGAUAACUUCGGGAAACCGGAGCUAAUACCGGAUAAUAUAUUGAACCGCAUGGUUCAAUAGUGAAAGACGGUUUUGCUGUCACUUAUAGAUGGAUCCGCGCCGCAUUAGCUAGUUGGUAAGGUAACGGCUUACCAAGGCAACGAUGCGUAGCCGACCUGAGAGGGUGAUCGGCCACACUGGAACUGAGACACGGUCCAGACUCCUACGGGAGGCAGCAGUAGGGAAUCUUCCGCAAUGGGCGAAAGCCUGACGGAGCAACGCCGCGUGAGUGAUGAAGGUCUUCGGAUCGUAAAACUCUGUUAUUAGGGAAGAACAAAUGUGUAAGUAACUAUGCACGUCUUGACGGUACCUAAUCAGAAAGCCACGGCUAACUACGUGCCAGCAGCCGCGGUAAUACGUAGGUGGCAAGCGUUAUCCGGAAUUAUUGGGCGUAAAGCGCGCGUAGGCGGUUUUUUAAGUCUGAUGUGAAAGCCCACGGCUCAACCGUGGAGGGUCAUUGGAAACUGGAAAACUUGAGUGCAGAAGAGGAAAGUGGAAUUCCAUGUGUAGCGGUGAAAUGCGCAGAGAUAUGGAGGAACACCAGUGGCGAAGGCGACUUUCUGGUCUGUAACUGACGCUGAUGUGCGAAAGCGUGGGGAUCAAACAGGAUUA
rnacentral:rRNA from 1 species